CUUCACGAUUCCCCCUCCCGGCUCCAGCUUCAGCGAAACCUCCUCUCGUCCCACACGUAGCGCUUCCCUGCGGGCACCUUGCGGAAAAACAGGCUGUUCCCUCGGCUCAUGUUGCCCUGGAAGACGGAGAUGGCCACGGUCCGGCUCAGCACCCGGCUCUGCCCCCCACCCCCAGGACAGGGGGGGGUUCCUAAACACCCCAUUUCCCCAGGGAUGGAGGCUUCCUGGUGUCAUGCAGCCGGGGGUGCGCACACACACGCGCUGGCUGUACUCACGCCGGUCACUGCCUGCGAGUAGCUCUUCAUCUCAGUCAUGGUGGAGGCCUGCGCAGAAAGAAAUGGCACCUUCAGCCCCCGCCACCUCAAAGCGGGGCCCUGUCCCCCUGAAAUGUCCCCUGAGCCUCCCCCAUCCUUCACUGCCAUCGUCCUACCCCCCGAGUGGGGCGUGGAGCCCGUACCCCGUUCUCCAGCGCGUACGUGUUGAUGAGGUAGGCCAGCAUGUUGCAGAGCCAGAGGGAGAGGAUGUCCCCGAGGAGCCGCGGGAUGAGGCCGCUGCAAGACAAGAGGGACCGUGAGCUCCGGGGAACGGGAAUGGGGGGAGCGCCUGUGUCCCCAACAGCCACGUGAAGGGGGGAACCCCCUGCCCCGGAGACAAAACACUCAGACGAAUGGUUCUGAGAGGAUGUGGGCACAGAGAGGAGCAGUGGAGGGACCCAAAAGACCCCCCAGCCACCGAGAGCGGGAGGGGGAAAUUUUAAUAUACGUUUGUUCUGUUUUAACGGCUCUAAAUGUCAAAUGUCACCCGCAAAUCCCAGGGCUGGUGGCUACAAGUGCCAGGAAGCCCCCCCGGGGGGCAGAACGGGAAAUCAGGGACCCCAGCAGCACACUAGGUGAGGGCAGGAUGGGAGAGCAGAGCUGCAGCUGGAGGGAGGAAUAACACCCACACAGCAAGCGAAGCCCCACGGAUUUUGGGGAGGGACCCCAUGGAUUUUGGGGGGCAGACCCUGCAGCCCCCUCGCUGUCAGCACUCACGCGAAGAAGCCCAGGAUGCCCUCUUCUCGGUAAAUCGUGGCGAAGGCGCUUAGUGUCCCGCUGGCACGGGGAGGAAAAGGAGGGUGACACAGUCAGAGGGGGGUCUGCGGGCGGGCAGCCCCCCAUGGCAGCCCCAUUUCCACCCCCAGCAGCCCCAGCCCCUACCUGUACUUGGUCUCGCGGCCAAUGAACUGCACCAUGCAGCGCAGGGUGAUCACUGUGGGCAGACACGGGGGUCAGCAGGGGCUCGGGGACACCCUGGGGUGACGCGGGAGCAACGGGCACUUGUCACCGGCUGUGGAGGGGUCACCUACCGUGAAAGGGGUGGGUGAUGAGUGUGGCGGCGGAGCGAGCGACCAUCUCUCGGGAGGUCUGGGGGAGAAACGGGUGGUCAGAGGGACACGGCGGGGGUGACAACAUCACUCCGAGUCCCCCUUGCACCCAGUGCCCUCCUCACCUCCUUCAGCACCUGCUCCAGCGAGGACACCGGCUCCUUCUUGCUGCUUCCAGGCUGGAAAGAGGCACCAGGUGGGGAACAGCCCCCGAAAGGCGCCGCUCCCUCCCCACCAGCCCUGGAGGCCCCGACCUCCCCAGACCCGGGUGUCCCCCCAGGGGAGCGGGAAGGAGGGAGCGACAGAUGGAGGAUUCACCCACCUCAGCCUGCUCAGCCUCCUGGUAUCGCUGGGGAGGGAAGCGCAGGGUCAGCGCAGCCGCGGGGGAGGGGGGAGGCUCUGCCGGUGCCCCGUGUCCCCAGCCCCGCUGGCAGAGCCCCCCGGGUCCCCAGCGCGUCCCCGUCUCCCCCAGUACCUGCAGCACUUUGCUGUGCACGACGGUGCCGAUGGCGCUGGAGCAGAGGCGGGGGGUGAGGCCCUUGAAGAGUCCCGCUCUUCCAUCGACCUUCACGAUGUGCUUGGCUGGGGACAGCGGGGACCCGUCACCCCCGGGGACGCCCCACGGGGGACAGCGGGACACGGGGACGCCCCACGGCGGGGACAGACUCACCGUACGCGAAGAGGCCGGGCAGCUGGUAGACCUGGCGCCCGAAAACGUUCCUGCCCAGGGUGGGCGGCAGCGGCUCGUAGCCCACCUGCGGCGGGGACAGGCAGCCGGUACCGGAGCCGGUGUCGCUCCCCCCCGGCUC